UCAUAUGUUCCAUUCUGUAGAUUUAAGAUUUAAACCAAGUGAUUUUUCAAAGAUGUUUACACAAUGUUGUGAUUCCUGUAUGCAGUAAAAUAAUUUUAAUAUACAUUUUAUUUAUUUAUUGGUAUAGGUAGCAAUUUGCAAAGAUUUUCCUUUGAAAGUUAUUACCUUUCUUAUCAACAUACACCAAAUGACAUUUGAUUUUGAAAGUAUUACCUUUCUUACUCAACCAUACCACCAAAUGACAUUUGAUGGUUUUAAAUUUGAUUUUCUCAAACAACUACAGAUCAGUGGAAUUACUUUGUCUAUAAUGUAAACUGAUAAAAGUAUUAAAGUUUCACCAAAUUUCAAGUUCUUUUCAUUUGCAGCAGCAUUCUCAAUAUACCUGCGGCUUAAUAUUUCUAAAAGCUAUUUCCAUAAUGCAUUGUUUCAGAGUCUAAGGUUUAUAGGGGUAGUUCCCCCAAAAAUGAAAAUUAACCUGUGUUUUACUCACCCUUGAGGCAUCAGCGGGUGUUUCCGUUGAAAAAUCCACAAGAGUCAAAUAAAGCCUGCACAUCCUAAUAAAACGUGCCUCACGUGGCUCUGGGGUGUGAAUAAAGGCCUCCUGUAAGAAUCCAUGCGUUUUCAUAAGAAAAAUAUCCAUAUUUUUAAACGUAACACUUUUCUCUCACUUCCGUAUUCUGUCAUCUGCGGAAGGCGUUCCAGCGGAUGACGUAGGACGUCAGCGUUGCUUGAUUAGUGACAACAGAGAAAAAAACAAAACAAAACACGGUCACGAAUUAGAAGAACAAAAGGAGGAUUUCUAUAUAAGCCAAGAGGAGACUGGGGUUCCUUUGCUAAAUCGAGGAAACUUUGAAAGUCAUAUACACCUAGGGUGCAUCGAGGCCUGCUGAGGACAGUUUGAGUUAUUAUCAGAACACAAUAUGAGAGGUGUGGCGCCCUCAUGUGGCUGUGAGAGGAAACGCAGCUACAAGCCAUUAAUUGUUGUGCUUUGUUGUUGGCGCAAUUGUUUUAUCAACCUGACAGGACAGAUCUUCAGCUCCGUUCAAUCCUCUUAAUGUCACAAACACAUGGCUUCCAUUCACACAGUUAUAAAUAGCAUUGGUCUAUAAUCGAUUUAAGAUUAAGUUUCAUAUUUUGUAAAAACAAACGCUUACUUUAAUGUGGUGAUAAUCUACAGGGAAUACUUAGAACAAAUAAAGUAAACCGGAGAAAGAGUCGCAUUUAAAUCAAUAAAACAUGGUGUUAUUCAUCAUGUUUUAAUCUACUUCAGAUCUUAGUGUGCUGUUCAGCUUGGAAUGAUGCUCCAAAUAGGAAAAUAUUGUCAGUGUCUUUAACCCUAUAAAGCCUACUGUAUCAUAUUUGAUACAUUAAUUUCUAAUGCCUCUAAACUUUGCUGGAAAAAAAAAACUGUUGUAGGCUACUCAUUAUAACAAUCUGCCCUCUGACUGAGUUUUUAGUAAAAAAACAUUUUACUAUAAUUCUACCCCCCCACCCCCAGUUAUAAUAAAGAAGUCAUUGACUUAAAUUACAAACGAUCAGAAUUUCAUCUUAAUUUUUGGCCAUAAAAUACUACUACUUUCUUUCUUUAUUCUCUUUUUUUCUGACUAUUGCCAGCUUUACAGGGUUAAAAAGAUGAGUGUUUAUCCUGUUAAACAUUCAUAAAGCAGUGCUUAGACCAGAUCCUUUAAAGAGCAAUACUUGGAAAGAACAAGAACACAUUUACAACCAAAUAUCCCUUCUGCAAUGCAUUUUUUAAAAAGUGGCUUUGGAGUAAAGAACUUGAACUAUUUUUAUUGUUGAAUUCAUUAAUGUAUUCUAAACCUUAUUUUUCGACUCAGAUUACACAAACUUGCGCUGAAAGCGGACAUUGAAAUCAAUAAAGCAUUAUGUUUAUGUGACUAACACUCUUUGAAUUUGGCUCAGGUUCGAGUCUGAUCGGUGGCGUCGCUUACUGACAGAAUAUUAAUAAAGGAACAAAUGAUAACAGCCUCUACUUUUAAUCUUUAACUCGUUAAGACCUCUUCUACUCUCUGGUUCCUCAGAUGAGAUAUUUUAGUAACGUUUCUUCGAGACGAUCGCUGGUCGUGUUGUUGUCCAGCAGGUGGCGCUCUUACUCUCUCUUACUCUUACACAACACUGCAUCUUUUGUAACGUAAACACGCUAGAAGACACCGCCUUUCGAUUUUUCUGAGAAAAUAAAGUUAUUAAAAACUCUUGGGUAUAAUUCAGACGAAAGGAAGGGCGGUAUUACUCUCUACGCAUAAAUAUUGCGUUUUUAAGUUUUAUUAACACACACUAAAACAGCGACUAAGUCAGCUAACUUUGCUAAUUUUACGAGGCAAUCGCAAUAUCAGCAAUACAAAAGUCACUAUAGCUGACAAAAACGAAAUAAUAGC
rnacentral:lncRNA from 1 species